rnacentral:siRNA from 1 species
UGCCGGGGUUUUGUGAUAUCCGGA